ACUCCUACGGGAGGCAGCAGCUAAGAAUCUUCCGCAAUGGACGAAAGUCUGACGGAGCGACGCCGUGUGAAUGAAGAAGGCCGAAAGGUUGUAAAAUUCUUUUGCAGAUGAAGAAUAAACAUAGGAGGGAAUGCCUGUGAGAUGACGGUAAUCAUGCGAAUAAGCCCCGGCUAAUUACGUGCCAGCAGCCGCGGUAACACGUAAGGGGCGAGCGUUGUUCGGAAUUAUUGGGCGUAAAGGGUAUGUAGGCGGUUAGGUAAGCCUGGUGUGAAAUCUACGAGCUCAACUCGUAAACUGCAUUGGGUACUGCUUGACUUGAAUCACGGAGGGGAAACCGGAAUUCCAAGUGUAGGGGUGGAAUCUGUAGAUAUUUGGAAGAACACCGGUGGCGAAGGCGGGUUUCUGGCCGAUGAUUGACGCUGAUAUACGAAGGUGCGGGGAGCAAACAGGAUUAGAUACCCUUGUAGUCC
rnacentral:rRNA from 1 species